CCGCACAGAGCGCGCGCAUUUACCAAAGUGAUGCACAAACAAACAUGGCAUCGAGUCGGGAAGAUUAUGUUCCUAAGAAAGGCACGGUGUCAUCCGUUAUUUGGAAUUGGUUUGCGUUCGCGAGGUCAGAUUUUGAGCAGACAACACCCCGCUGCAAAGUCUGUUCGAAGUCUGUUGCUAGCAAAGGCAGCAGUACGACAAAUUUACUGCAGCACCUCAGGCAAAAACAUCCCGCCGAAUGGGAGAAAUGUUGCGCGCAGCGGAAUGAGGGAGACCGCGGCACCACAAGCAACACACGCACAGCUACUAAAAUACAGACCACCGUCACACAAACCUUUGCCAACUGCAUCCCAUAUGAGAAGAAUUCGGCCCGCUGGAAAGCCAUAACUGAUGCGAUCGCUAUGUAUAUAGCAAAGGAUAUGGUCCCAAUGUAUACAGUGGAAAAGCCAGGUUUCAUAAAUAUGCAAAAAGUUUUGGACCCCAAGUAUGUGCUACCACGCCGAAAAUUUUUCUCCGACGUUGCCUUGCCCCAACUAUAUAAUAGCACGAGACAACGGAUCGCAAAGGAGUUGGAAGAGGUGUCCUUUUUUUCUGCCACCACAGAUUUAUGGUCAAGUCGGACGAUGCAACCAUACAUGAGUCUUACUGUGCACUUUAUCACUAACGAUUGGACUCUGCGAAGCAUCUGCCUUCAAACGGCAUACUUUCCAGAGGACCACACAGGUGAAAUAAUAGCCCAGGGGCUAAGAGAUGCCCUAAAUUCAUGGAACCUUGCCAAGACCGACUCAUUUGCAUGACAACUGAUAGCGGCAGCAACAUGAUCAAAGCUCUGAAGGACAAUGCGUGGCCCAACCUCCAGUGCUUUGGACACAGAUUGCACAAUGCUAUCGAGAAUGGUGUGAAGGACCCACGGAUAGUUCGUGCUAUCGGGGUAUGCAAAAAGGCUGUCUCUGCCUUUUCUUACAGCUGGAAAAAAAGAAGAGACAUGACUGAAGUACAGGCAGAGCUUGGUCUACCCACUCAUCAGCUGAUAACGGAGUCCCCGACCAGAUGGGGUUCACGCCAAAGGAUGAUAGAGAGAUUUCUCGAACAAGAGAAGGCUGUAGUCCGUGUCCUGGGUUCGGACAAGAAAAGUCGCCAUCUUGUGCCCACUUGGCAAGAUCUGGAUGUGUUGGAGUCAACAAAUAAAGCAGUAAAAUCCCUCCAGGAAUUCACUGAUGCACUCUCCGGGGAGUCUUAUGUCAGUGUUUCCUACAUUAAACCAGUGCUCCAUCUGUUCAAAACCAGUCUCCUACAGCCAGAGGAGGAAGACACAGAGCUCACGAAAACAAUAAAAGGAAAUAUCAUGCAGUACCUUGACGAGAAAUACAGCGACCCUGUAAAAGAUGAAAUCUUGGACAUGUGCUCACUGGUUGACCCAAGGUUCCGCACAACCUACAUUGACCCAGACAAUGUGGAACAGGUCAAAA